rnacentral:rRNA from 1 species
GAUGAACGCUGGCGGCGUGCCUAAUACAUGCAAGUCGAGCGAACAGAUAAGGAGCUUGCUCCUUUGACGUUAGCGGCGGACGGGUGAGUAACACGUGGGUAACCUACCUAUAAGACUGGGAUAACUUCGGGAAACCGGAGCCAAUACCGGAUAAUAUUUCGAACCGCAUGGUUCGAUAGUGGAAGAUGGUUUUGCUAUCACUUAUAGAUGGACCCGCGCCGUAUUAGCUAGUUGGUAAGGUAACGGCUUACCAAGGCGACGAUACGUAGCCGACCUGAGAGGGUGAUCGGCCACACUGGAACUGAGACACGGUCCAGACUCCUACGGGAGGCAGCAGUAGGGAAUCUUCCGCAAUGGGCGAAAGCCUGAUGGAGCAACGCCGCGUGAGUGAUGAAGGUCUUCGGAUCGUAAAACUCUGUUAUUAGGGAAGAACAUACGUGUAAGUAACUGUGCACGUCUUGACGGUACCUAAUCAGAAAGCCACGGCUAACUACGUG